UACGUAGGGGGCAAGCGUUGUCCGGAAUCAUUGGGCGUAAAAGAGCGUGUAGGCGGCCAGAUAAGUCCGCUGUGAAAACUCGAGGCUCAACUUCGAGCUGUCGGUGGAAACUAUUUGGCUAGAGUCCGGUAGAGGAGAGUGGAAUUCCUGGUGUAGCGGUGAAAAUGCGCAGAUAUCAGGAAGAACACCCUGGCGAAGGCGGCUCUCUGGUA
rnacentral:rRNA from 1 species